rnacentral:rRNA from 1 species
GGAUUAGAUACCCUGGUAGUCCACGCCGUAAACGAUGAUCACUAGACGUUAGGCCUGCUUGCGGGCUUAGUGUCGCAGCUAACGCGAUAAGUGAUCCGCCUGGGGAGUACGGUCGCAAGAUUAAAACUCAAAGAAAUUGACGGGGGUCCGCACAAGCGGUGGAACAUGUGGUUUAAUUCGAUACUACGCGAGAAACCUUACCUAGACUUGACAUGCUUUUGAUCGCUAUGGAAACAUAGUUUUCUAGGCUUUUGUCUAGACAAUUGCACAGGUGCUGCAUGGCUGUCGUCAGCUCGUGCCG